GUGGGGAAUCUUAGACAAUGGGGGAAACCCUGAUCUAGCCAUGCCGCGUGAGCGAUGAAGGCCUUAGGGUUGUAAAGCUCUUUCAGAGGGGAAGAUAAUGACGGUACCCUCAGAAGAAGCCCCGGCUAACUCCGUGCCAGCAGCCGCGGUAAUACGGAGGGGGCUAGCGUUGUUCGGAAUUACUGGGCGUAAAGCGCACGUAGGCGGACCAGAAAGUCAGGGGUGAAAUCCCGGGGCUCAACCCCGGAACUGCCUUUGAAACUCCUGGUCUUGAGGUCGAGGGAGGUGAGUGGAAUUCCGAGUGUAGAGGUGAAAUUCGUAGAUAUUCGGAGGAACACCAGUGGCGAAGGCGGCUCACUGGCUCGAUACUGACGCUGGGGUGCGAAAGCGUGGGGAGCAAACAGGAUUAGAAACCCCAGUAGUCC
rnacentral:rRNA from 1 species